rnacentral:rRNA from 1 species
CCCUUAGAUGUUCUGGGCUGCACGCGCGCUACACUGAAGCUAUCAACACGAUUUCCCUCCCUGAGAAGGGCGGGUAACCUUUUGAAUCAGCUUCGUGGUAGGGAUCGGGGCUUGCAAUUGUUCCCCGUGAACCAGGAAUUCCUAGUAGACGCGAGUCAUAAGCUCGCAUCGAUUAAGUCCCUGCCCUUUGUACACACCGCCCGUCGCUACUACCGAUUGAACGUUUUAGUGAGGCAUUUGGACCGACGCAUCUCAGUUUAACCGCUGGUUUGUGUUGGAAAGACUUCCAAACUUGAGCGUUUAGAGGAAGUAAAAGUCGUAACA